rnacentral:rRNA from 1 species
UACGGGGGGGGGCAAGCGUUGUUCGGAAUUACUGGGCGUAAAGCGCGUGUAGGCGGCUAAGUAAGUCGGGCGUGAAAUCCCACGGCUCAACCGUGGAAGUGCACUCGAAACUGCAUAGCUAGAGUCCUGGAGAGGAAGGUGGAAUGCUUGGUGUAGAGGUGAAAUUCGUAGAUAUCAAGCGGAACACCGGUGGCGAAGGCGGCCUUCUGGACAGUGACGUGACGCUGAGACGCGAAAGCGUGGGGAGCAAACAGGG